CCUACGGGGGGCUGCAGUGGGGAAUAUUGGACAAUGGGGGGAACCCUGAUCCAGCCAUGCCGCGUGUGUGAAGAAGGCCCUCGGGUUGUAAAGCACUUUCAGUGAGGAAGAACGCCUGGUGGUUAAUACCCAUCAGGAAAGACAUCACUCACAGAAGAAGCACCGGCUAACUCCGUGCCAGCAGCCGCGGUAAUACGGAGGGUGCGAGCGUUAAUCGGAAUUACUGGGCGUAAAGCGCGCGUAGGUGGCUUGAUAAGCCGGUUGUGAAAGCCCCGGGCUCAACCUGGGAACGGCAUCCGGAACUGUCAAGCUAGAGUGCAGGAGAGGAAGGUAGAAUUCCCGGUGUAGCGGUGAAAUGCGUAGAGAUCGGGAGGAAUACCAGUGGCGAAGGCGGCCUUCUGGACUGACACUGACACGGAGGUGCGAAAGCGUGGGUAGCAAACAGGAUUAGAUACCCUGGUAGUC
rnacentral:rRNA from 1 species